UUAAAAGGUCGUAGUUGGGUUUCUGGUUGGCUGUUUCUGCCCUCUUGUGAGUGCGCAGUGGUAGCCUACCAUCCUUCUGUUAACCUAGCAGCUCUUCACUGGGCUGUUAGGGGCUCAGAUAUUUUACCUUGAGAAAAUUAGAGUGUUUCAGGCAGGCUAGCGCCGGAAUACAUUAGCAUGGAAUAAUAGAAUAGGACUUUUACCUCUUCUGUUGGUCUGAGGGGUUCAAGUAAUGAUUAAUAGGGAUAGUUGGGGGCAUUAGUACUUAACUGUCAGAGGUGAAAUUCUCGGAUUUGUUAAAGACUAACUUAUGCGAAAGUUUGCCAAGGAUGUUUUCAUUAAUCAAGAACGAAAGUUAGGGGAUCAAAGACGAUCAGAUACCGUCCUAGUCUUAACUAUAACUAUACCGACUAGGGAUUGGUUGGGAUUUUUUAACCCAAUCAGCACCUUAUGAGAAAUCAAAUCGGAUCCCCGGGUACCGAGCUCGAAUUCACUGGCCGUCGUUUUACAACGUCGU
rnacentral:rRNA from 1 species